rnacentral:rRNA from 1 species
UACGGAGGGUGCGAGCGUUGUCCGGAAUCACUGGGCGUAAAGGGCGCGUAGGCGGCUCAUGAAGGCUGUGGUGAAAGUCCGGGGCUCAACCUCGGAUCGGCCGUGGCGACUCGUGGGCUGGAGCACUGUAGAGGCGAGUGGAAUUCCUGGUGAUAGCGGUGAAAUGCGCAGAUAUCAGGAGGAACACCGGUGGCGAAGGCGGCUCGCUGGGCCAUUCCUGACGCUGGAGAACGCGAAAGCUAGGGAGCGAACAGG